rnacentral:rRNA from 1 species
UACAGAGGGUGCAAACGUUGCUCGGAAUUAUUGGGCGUAAAGCGCGUGUAGGCGGCUUGUUAAGUUGGUUGUGAAAACCCAUGGCUCAACCAUGGAAGGGCGUCCAAAACUGGCAAGCUAGAGUCCCGACGAGGAUGGCGGAAUUCCCAGUGUAGAGGUGAAAUUCGUAGAUAUUGGGAGGAACACCGGUGGCGAAGGCGGCCAUCUGGGAGGGCACUGACGCUAAGGAGCGAAAGCGUGGGGAGCGAACAGG